rnacentral:misc_RNA from 1 species
CCGAGUCACGCGCUCAAACAACCCUUCUGUGGACCUGAAUUAAACCGUUGCCUCGGCGGGCGGUCCCCUGUUAAAAAACCCACGUGGUGUAGGCAGGGGACCAGACAGUCCGGCACGCUUAAGGCGUCCGGCGCCAGCCGCUGGCCCUAAACAAUUAAACUCUAGUAACCUUACCUUCUGAGUUUUAAUACAAAAAAUAAGUCA